AGAAGAAAGCUCGAUUUAAGGUGCGUUCACACGUUGCAACUAGUUUGUUACAACACGUUGCAUACAACAAGUUGCACGUCUUGAGUUGCGUUCACACACAGGCCAAGUUGUAUACAAUUUUCGGUAUCGUGAGAUCUCGUUUUACAUGUUGCUUAGCAACGCACUGUAGAAACUAGCAUACGGUCAUGGCGUCCCUAUACAACAGCGAUAGUGAUGACGAUGUACUGGAAGCGGCGGUUGUCGCAAUGCUCGUUGAUUUUAACCAUGGCAAAGCCGACCGUUCGUGCUGGGUCCGUCCCUGGAUUGCAAGAAGAAGUGAUCUAGGAGCUUAUAAAGCUUUAAUGAGGGAACUUGAAGCUGAGGACACAAAAAGUUUUGUCAAUUUCUUACGCAUGGACAGAGAGAGUUUUGAUCAACUGCUGGGCAGAGUGUCACCUAUGAUAACCAAAGCUGAUACACCCAUGCGUGAUUCUAUACCCCCUGGAGAAAAACUCGCCAUCACACUUCGAUAUUUGGCCACAGGUAGGGCUAUGAACAGUCAUAAUUUCAUGAAUUAUAGUUAAUGUAUCUCACAGAUCACCUACUGUUUGUCGAUCAGCUGUUUUGUGUUUAUCAAUAAGCGUGACAAUCUAUAAAUAAACCAACCACUCCUGACUGCGUUAGCACCAAAUGCUUCAGUGCAAAGCCGCUGUCCCUAACCCUGUAAAGAGUUGAAUGAGGCUCCCGAAGGUGUGCCACAUGUAUACGCUCAAUAACUUUUUGAUUAUUCAGAAUGAAUCAUCUGUGUGUUUUUUUUAUUUAGGUGACAGUUACAAGUCUCUAGAAUUCUUGUAUCGGGUACCAAAGAACACAAUUUGCAAUUUCGUCCCUCAAGUGUGUGUGGCAAUUUAUGAAACUCUCAAGAAGGACUUUCUGAAGGUGCCACAGUCAGAAGAAGAAUGGCUGCAAGUCGCAGAGGGAUUUGAGGAGAAGUGGCAGUUUCCACACUGUAUUGGUGCUUUGGAUGGAAAGCAUAUAUCUAUAAAAUCACCUGCCAAAUCAGGAUCACUCUACUACAACUAUAAAAACCUUUUUAGCAUUGUACUCCUAGCUCUUGUUGAUUCUAACUACAGAUUUGUGUAUGUAGAUGUUGGUGCAAAUGGUAGGUCAUGUGAUGCAGGUAUAUUUGCCAAUUCAUCACUGUAUCAGGCACUGAACAGUAACUCCUUGAAAAUUCCAGGUCCAAAGCCAUUGCCUGGAAGAUGUCUUGAUACUCCCUAUGUGAUUGUUGGGGACGAUGCCUUUCCA